GAUGAACGCUAGCUACAGGCUUAACACAUGCAAGUCGAGGGACCGGCGCACGGGUGAGUAACACGUAUCCAACCUGCCCUUUACUCGGGGAUAGCCUUUCGAAAGAAAGAUUAAUACCCGAUAUAAAGGACGGGGAUGCGUUCGAUUAGUUUGUUGGUGAGGUAACGGCUCACCAAGCCUUCGAUGGCUAGGGGUUCUGAUAGGAAGGGCCCCCACAUUGGAACUGCGGCACGGACCAAACUCCGACGGGAGGAAGCAGUAAGGAAUAUUGGUCAAUGGGGGCUAGCCUGAACCAGCCAAGUAGCGUGAAGGAUGAAGGCUUAUGGGUCGUAAACUUCUUGUAUAUAAGAAUAUGUAUUAUAUGAAUAAGGAUCGGCUAACUCCGUGCCAGCCGCCGCGGUAAUAC
rnacentral:rRNA from 1 species